UACGGGGGGGGCAAGCGUUGUUCGGCAUUACUGGGCGGAAAGGGCUCGUAGGUGGCCAACUAAGUCAGACGUGAAAUCCCUCGGCUUAACCGGGGAACUGCGUCUGAUACUGGAUGGCUUGAGUUUGGGAGAGGGAUGCGGAAUUCCAGGUGUAGCGGUGAAAUGCGUAGAUAUCUGGAGGAACACCGGUGGCGAAGGCGGCAUCCUGGACCAACACUGACACUGAGGAGCGAAAGCCAGGGGAGCAAACGGG
rnacentral:rRNA from 1 species